rnacentral:rRNA from 13 species
GAAAGCGAGUCUGAAUAGGGCGAAAUAGUCGCAUGCUCUAGACCCGAAGCGGAGUGAUCUAUCCAUGGGCAGGUUGAAGCGCGGGUAAGACCGCGUGGAGGACCGAACCCACCAGGGUUAAAAACCUGGGGGAUGACCUGUGGAUAGGGGUGAAAGGCCAAUCAAACUCCGUGAUAGCUGGUUCUCCCCGAAAUGCAUAUAGGUGCAGCGUCGCGUGUUUCUUACCGGAGGUAGAGCACUGGAUGGUCUAGGGGGCUUAUCGGCUUACCGAAAUCAGCCAAACUCCGAAUG